rnacentral:lncRNA from 1 species
GCGUUUCCUACGCGGUCGGGCGUUGGGUUUCGCGGCCCUCGCCGCACUGGUUGCUCGGCACCUUCGGUCGGGUUGAGGUUGUCAAGCUGGACCAAUAGGUUGUUUCUCUUCAGUUUCCAACAUGGCAGGGAGGUUUAAUAGACAUGGAUAAGAAGUCCGCUCACAGAAAUCCUGAAGAUGCCAAGGCUGGCAAAUAUGAAGGUAAACACAAACGAAAGAAAAAAAGAAAGCAAAACCAAAACCAGCACCGAUCCCGACAUAGAUCAGUGACAUCUUUUUCUUCAGAUGAUCGUGUGUUUCCUUCUUCUUCAUCAUCAUCUUCAGGAAGCCAGACGGAUUUGAGUACUGAAGAUGCUACCCAGGGAAAAAUUAAGAAGAAGAGAAGAGAGAAAACAAAUAAAUGGAGGGGAAAAAGAAAGGUAUCUUCUGAGAUAUCCAUCAUCCUUUCUGGUCCUCAGUCACUGGUCCACACCAUUUGCCACUAAGAUGUUGUCAUUCCUGUUUGUCUGGUACCUUCAGGACAAAAUAUGAAACACCAAGAAAGAGAAGGAAAAAAAGGAGGAAACAGCCACAUAUGUCACCUUUCCAAG